GUGAGGAAUAUUGGUCAAUGGGCGAGAGCCUGAACCAGCCAAGUCGCGUGAAGGAAGACGGCCCUACGGGUUGUAAACUUCUUUUGCAAUGGAAUAAAAAGAGUUACGUGUAAUUCAUUGUAUGUACAUUGCGAAUAAGGAUCGGCUAACUCCGUGCCAGCAGUCGCGGUAAUACGGAGGAUCCGAGCGUUAUCCGGAUUUAUUGGGUUUAAAGGGUGCGUAGGCGGAUUGGAAAGUCAGCGGUGAAAGUUUGCAGCUUAACUGUAAAAUUGCCAUUGAAACUGUCAGUCUUGAGUGCAAAUGAGGUAGGCGGAAUGUGUUGUGUAGCGGUGAAAUGCAUAGAUAUAACACAGAACACCAAUUGCGAAGGCAGCUUACUGGGAUGCAACUGACGCUGAGGCACGAAAGCGUGGGGAUCAAACAGGAUUAGAAACCCGUGUAGUCC
rnacentral:rRNA from 1 species